rnacentral:sRNA from 1 species
AAUUGAUAUUAUCGUUACUAGCACAAAUCUUGUUAUUCUACGUCUCAUCUUUCGUAACUUGUAAAUGAGGUAUUUAUUUAUCGGUAUCAUGGAAGCUUCGAUAAAAAAAUUAACCAAAGUUUGCUUGGUGAGAGGUUUAAUAUUAGCACAAGUCAUAAACGUAAAAAGGAAGAGGGUAUAUGCUGCAAGGAAAUUCCUACAAGACUCCUCCGGUCUUAUAUAAACAUGAAGAGGAAGUUGUGUGCAUGUUCUUCUAUUUGCACUACAAGUGCUCUGCUUGCUCCAUUUGGAACUUGAAGUCCUCUUGCUCCUCUUGGAACUUCAAAUGUUGUUUCUUAACCAUCAUAAAAUUCUUCGGCUGCUUGAGAUGUUUC